rnacentral:siRNA from 1 species
UUACAUGUUGGCUUGAAGAGACGC